rnacentral:rRNA from 1 species
UGCAUAUCAAAAAGCGGAGGAAAAGAAACCAACAGGGAUUGCCUUAGUAACGGCGAGUGAGCGGCAAAGCUCAAAUUUGAAAUCUGGCACCUUCGGUGUCCGAGUUGUAAUUUGAAGAAGGUAACUUUGGAGUUAGCUCUUGUCUAUGUUCCUUGGAACAGGACGUCACAGAGGGUGAGAAUCCCGUGCGAUGAGAUGUCUAACUCUAUGUAAAGUGCUUUCGAAGAGUCGAGUUGUUUGGGAAUGCAGCUCUAAGUGGGUGGUAAAUUCCAUCUAAAGCUAAAUAUUGGCGAGAGACCGAUAGCGAACAAGUACAGUGAUGGAAAGAUGAAAAGAACUUUGAAAAGAGAGUGAAAAAGUACGUGAAAUUGUUGAAAGGGAAGGGUUUGAGAUCAGACUUGGUAUUUUGUAUGUCUUGCUUUCGGGUGGGGCCUCUGCAGUUUACUGGGCCAGCAUCGGUUUGGAUGGUAGGAUAAUGACAUUGGAAUGUGGCACUACUUCGGUGGUGUGUUAUAGACUUUGUUGAUACUGCCUGUCUAGACCGAGGACUGCGUCUUUGACUAGGAUGCUGGCAUAAUGAUCCUAAACCGCCCGUCUUGAAACAGCGAAACCA